rnacentral:tRNA from 1 species
GCUACUGUAGCUCAGCUGGUAGAGCGGCUGCGAGAGCAGUAGGUCGUGGGUUCGAAUCCCNNGGUUCGAAUCCCACCAGUAGCU